ACUCCUACGGGAGGCAGCAGUAGGGAAUAUUGGGCAAUGGUCGGAAGACUGACCCAGCCAUGCCGCGUGCAGGAAGACGGCCUAUUGGUUGUAAACUGCUUUUAUCUGGGAAGAAAAGGGCCAUGCGUGGCAAAUUGCCGGUACCAGAUGAAUAAGCACCGGCUAACUCCGUGCCAGCAGCCGCGGUAAUACGGAGGGGUGCAAGCGUUGUCCGGAUUUAUUGGGUUUAAAGGGUGCGUAGGCGGCUGAUUAAGUCAGCGGUGAAAGACUCCGGCUCAACCGGAGCAGUGCCGUUGAUACUGGUUAGCUUGAGUGCUGCAGGGGUACAUGGAAUUGAUGGUGUAGCGGUGAAAUGCAUAGAUACCAUCAGGAACACCGAUAGCGAAGGCAUUGUACUGGGCAGCAACUGACGCUGAGGCACGAAAGCGUGGGAUCGAACAGGAUUAGAUACCCUGGUAGGAUAGCG
rnacentral:rRNA from 1 species